CACUUCAAAUCUAGCCCCUACCCAAAGAACAACUAACAAAUAUUAAUAAACCCUCAAACAUUAAAUUAAUAAACUAAACCAUUCUUAAAUCCAAGUAUGGGAGACAAAAAAGAAUAAAAGAGCUAUAGAGUAAGUACCGCAAGGGAAAGAUGAAAAAGAAAUGAAAGAAUUUCACAAGUAUAUAAAAGCAGAGCUCACACCUCGUACCUUUUGCAUCAUGUUUUAGUAAGUCAAAUCAAGCAAAGAGCACUUAAGUUUGAACACCCGAAACUAAGUGAGCUACUUCGAGUCAGCCAAUAUAAUGGGCAAACCCGUAUCUGUGGCAAAAGAUUGGGAAGAACUCCAAGUAGUGGUGACAAACCAACCGAACUUAGUUAUAGCUGGUUUCCUGAGAAAGGGAUAUAAGUUCGGCCCAAUUACUUCUUAAAUCACACGUGUAACACACAUAGGUUAAUGUAAGUAAUAGGAGUAAAUCAAAUGAGGUACAGCUCCUUUGAUAAAGAUACAACUUUACAAGCAGGUUAAGGAUCACAUUAAACAAGGCUAUAGUACCCUAGUGGGCCUAAAAGCAGCCACCUAAGAAGAAAGCGUUAAAGCUCUAGUACUAAAAACCCUAUAUAUUCUGGUAACUUUUCCUAAGCCGCUUCAACUAUCAGGACAUUCUACACAACGUAGAAGAGAUAAUGCUAAUAUGAGUAAUAAGAGGCUUUAAAACCUCUCCUAGCACAAGUGUAAAUCGGAACGAACCCACACCGAAAACUAACGACCCCAACAAAAGAGGGGAUUGUAAAUGAAUAAAAACCAAGAAAACCUAUCAAUCUAAAAUCGUUAACCCCACACAGGAGUGCUCACAAGGAAAGACUAAAAGGGGAAGAAGGAACUCGGCAAACACUACCAGCCUCGCCUGUUUACCAAAAACACCGCCUCUUGCAUAACAAGAAUAAGAGGUCCCGCCUGCCCUGUGACCAUGUGUUUAACGGCCGCGGUAUUUUGACCGUGCAAAGGUAGCGCAAUCACUUGUCUUUUAAAUGAAGACCCGUAUGAAUGGCAUAACGAGGGCUUAACUGUCUCCUCCCCCCAGUCAAUGAAAUUGAUCUCCUCGUGAAGAAGCGGGGAUAUAAACAUAAGACGAGAAGACCCUAUGGAGCUUUAGAUUAUGGUUGAUACUAUAUUGUAACCCUUGUUAAAGGAAUAAGAAGUAGUAAUUCUCCCAAUAUCUUCGGUUGGGGCGACCGCGGGGUAAUAAGAAACCCCCGUGAGGAUUGGGGUAAUAACCCUAAAACCACGAACACCAGUUCUAAGUGGCAAAAAUUUUGACCUUAAGAUCCGGUACUACCGAUCAACGAACCAAGUUACCCUAGGGAUAACAGCGCAAUCCCCUUAAAGAGUCCCUAUCGACAAGGGGGUUUACGACCUCGAUGUUGGAUCAGGACAUCCUAAUGGUGCAGCCGCUAUUAAGGGUUCGUUUGUUCAACGAUUAAAGUCCUACGUGAUCUGAGUUCAGACCGGAGUAAUCCAGGUCAGUUUCUAUCUAUGACAUGCUUUUCUCUAGUACGAAAGGACCGAGAAAAGGGGGCCCAUGCCAAAGGUAAGCCUUAAUACCACCCGAUGAAGACAUCUAAAGUGGGUAUUAAACAUAAUACUGAGCUGAAAACCAUAGCUU
rnacentral:rRNA from 1 species